CUUUCCAGGAAGAAUCUUAGCCUUGAGCACUUUGAUCAACACCUUAAUCAAGACUCCGGGAUCAACUCUUUGAUCAGCAGCUUUCUUCUUCUUCUCCUCGAUCUUCACUCUUGAAAUCACAAAGCACUACCUCUUAGCAUGUGGAAAAGGGGAUGCCUAACUCUUGGGCAUGGAAGAGAAGAAAGGGAGGAGAGGAGGCAUGGAGAAGGGAG
rnacentral:lncRNA from 1 species